AGUGAACGCUGGCGGUAGGCCUAACACAUGCAAGUCGAACGGCAGCACAGUAAGAGCUUGCUCUUACGGGUGGCGAGUGGCGGACGGGUGAGGAAUACAUCGGAAUCUACUUUUUCGUGGGGGAUAACGUAGGGAAACUUACGCUAAUACCGCAUACGACCUACGGGUGAAAGCAGGGGAUCUUCGGACCUUGCGCGAUUGAAUGAGCCGAUGUCGGAUUAGCUAGUUGGCGGGGUAAAGGCCCACCAAGGCGACGAUCCGUAGCUGGUCUGAGAGGAUGAUCAGCCACACUGGAACUGAGACACGGUCCAGACUCCUACGGGAGGCAGCAGUGGGGAAUAUUGGACAAUGGGCGCAAGCCUGAUCCAGCCAUACCGCGUGGGUGAAGAAGGCCUUCGGGUUGUAAAGCCCUUUUGUUGGGAAAGAAAAGCAGCAGGUUAGUACCCUGCUGUUCUGACGGUACCCAAAGAAUAAGCACCGGCGAACUUCGU
rnacentral:rRNA from 1 species